UAAAACAAAAACAAAUUCCUUCUUGCAAGAGCGCAGACAGUCUCUGAUCAUUUAUGCAUUUGCUUAUGACCACUAUAACAUGGCCUUUGAUUACAAUUUAAUAUAUUUUUGUAUGUGUUAUUAACGUUGCAGUUUUGAAAUUUGAGCUUUUAUUUUUAAGGUUUCCUCAUUACCAUACAACGUGACGCCCUCAUUUGUGCUGCAGGCAGAAUAGUAGUCCGGACAAGGCACAAAACAGCAUCGGGACUGAAAAGAUUUGCUGCAGAACUGGGAAGCUCCGCUCCAUUCAGACAUUCAGGAGAGCGGGAGGGAAGAUAAACUGACCCCUGACCUUUCA
rnacentral:lncRNA from 1 species